AUUGAACGCUGGCGGCAGGCCUAACACAUGCAAGUCGAGCGGCAGCGGGUCCGUCGGGAUGCCGGCGAGCGGCGGACGGGUGAGUAAUGCCCAGGAAUCUGCCUGGUAGUGGGGGAUAACGUUCGGAAACGGACGCUAAUACCGCAUACGUCCUACGGGAGAAAGUGGGGGAUCUUCGGACCUCACGCUAUCAGAUGAGCCUAGGUCGGAUUAGCUAGUUGGUGGGGUAAAGGCUCACCAAGGCGACGAUCCGUAACUGGUCUGAGAGGAUGAUCAGUCACACUGGGACUGAGACACGGUCCAGACUCGUACGGGAGGCAGCAGUGGGGAAUAUUGGACAAUGGGCGAAAGCCUGAUCCAGCCAUGCCGCGUGUGUGAAGAAGGUCUUCGGAUUGUAAAGCACUUUAAGUUGGGAGGAAGGGCAGCUAGUUAAUACCUGGUUGUUUUGACGUUACCAACAGAAUAAGCACCGGCUAACUUCGUGCCAGCAGCCGCCGUAACAC
rnacentral:rRNA from 1 species